rnacentral:tRNA from 41 species
GCUGUGGUAGCUCAGUGGCAGAGCACACCCUUGGUAAGGGUGAGGUCGAGAGUUCAAUCCUCUCUCACAGCACCA